rnacentral:rRNA from 1 species
UACGUAGGGUGCGAGCGUUGUCCGGAUUUAUUGGGCGUAAAGGGCUCGUAGGCGGCCUGUCGCGUCGGGAGUGAAAGCCCACUGCUUAACGGUGGGUCUGCUUCCGGUACGGGCGGGCUAGAGUAUGGCAGGGGAGACUGGAAUUCCUGGUGUAGCGGUGGAAUGCGCAGAUAUCAGGAGGAACACCAAUAGCGAAGGCAGCUCGCUGGGACGUUACUGACACUGAGGCGCGAAAGCGUGGGGAGCGAACAGG